GUGGAAUGAUGAUAUGCCUUGGUCCGUGUUUCUGAUAAACUAGUGACGUUAUACAGGCUUCACUGACCAC